GAAAGCUCUUCGCUCCCCGCAAACGCGAGUCAUCACAUUCCUCUGCGAGGGGCUGCGGAAAGGCAGCGCUCCCCUCGGCACUUUAUGGGGCUGCCAGUUGAAGAAACCAAGGCUUCGAGAGGUGGAAGGAUUUGUCUAAGAUCACACAGCUGGUGGCAGCAAGACAAGUCAGCAGGAGUUUGCAUUUCCUGCCCCCCCGUCCAGGAACAGCCAGCUUUGGGGCCAGUGGCACCUGCAGGAAGAUGCACUUAUCUUGGACAGAUGGAAAACAACUCCAUUUGCACCUGGAGAGCCCUGAGCAGUGGCAUCUCCAGCAGGGAAUCUGACAUGCAGCACACAGGCCUGUCUGUGCUGCAACCUGGAGCACAUGCAGAUAGCUUGAAUCUUGCAAGCUGAUGUGUAGGUGUCACUUGCUUGAAACCGGGAAGCAAAGCUGCACUGACAGCUGGGAUGCAGCAUCGCAGUGACCAUUACUGAGCAGCUGCUAUGCACCAGGUUUUUACAUGCAUUUAUCUCCUCUAAUCCACAUCCCAAAACCUACAAGGCAGGGCAGUUCCUGUGCCCAUUUUAUGGAUGAGGAAAAUUGAGGCAUAUGGUGGGGGGAGUAAUUCCCACACGGCCACACAGCUAGGAAGUGCCUGCGCUGAGGUUGGAACCUGGGUCUGCCGACUCAAGACUGGGUCCCUAACAAUUUUGCAGCCUAACCAGAGCAAUCAAGUAGCUUACCACCCAGCUAAAUAAUCAGCCAGCCAACCUCCCACUAGCACAAACAGUUACUGGGUGCAUAUAGGGUGCCAGACACUGGAGACAGAGGGAGAUUAAGACAGAAUCCUGCCCCAGCUAUAUGACAUUAAGCCAAUUGCUUAACCUCCUAGGGCUUUAGUUUCCUCAUCUGUAAAAUGGACCAAUAAUACUGCCUCCCUUAUUGGGUUAAGUGUGUAAAUACAUGUAAAGCAGUUAAAACAGCAUCUGCUGCAGAGUAAGCAUUCAAUAAAUGUU